AGGACGAACGCUGGCGGCGUGCCUAACACAUGCAAGUCGAGCGAGGUCCAACUGGGGGGCAACCCCAGGGAAGACCUAGCGGCGAACGGGUGAGUAACACGUGAGGAACCUGCCCUGGAGUGCAGGAUAACUCGGGGAAACCCGGGCUAAUACUGCAUACCUUCUUCGAGCGGCAUCGUUUGAAGAAGAAAGAAUCUCGCUCCGGGAGGGUCUCGCGGCCUAUCAGCUUGUUGGUGGGUAACGCCUACCAAGGCAGCGACGGGUAGCUGGUCUGAGAGGACGAUCAGCCACACUGGGACUGAGACACGGGCCCAGACUCCUACGGGAGGCAGCAGUGGGAAUUUGCGCAAUGGGCGAAAGCCUGACGCAGCAACGCCGCGUGCGGGAGAAGGCCCUCGGGUUGUAAACCGCUUUACGAGUCGAAGGAACGAAACGUGACGGUACCUGACUAGAAGACGACCCGACGAACGUACGUGACCAG
rnacentral:rRNA from 1 species